GACGAACGCUGGCGGCGUGCCUAAUACAUGCAAGUUGAGCGCUGAAGGUUGGUACUUGUACCGACUGGAUGAGCAGCGAACGGGUGAGUAACGCGUGGGGAAUCUGCCUUUGAGCGGGGACAACAUUUGGAAACGAAUGCUAAUACCGCAUAAAAACUUUAAACACAAGUUUUAAGUUUGAAAGAUGCAAUUGCAUCACUCAAAGAUGAUCCCGCGUUGUAUUAGCUAGUUGGUGAGGUAAAGGCUCACCAAGGCGAUGAUACAUAGCCGACCUGAGAGGGUGAUCGGCCACAUUGGGACUGAGACACGGCCCAAACUCCUACGGGAGGCAGCAGUAGGGAAUCUUCGGCAAUGGGCGAAAGUCUGACCGAGCAACGCCGCGUGAGUGAAGAAGGUUUUCGGAUCGUAAAACUCUGUUGGUAGAGAAGAACGUUGGUGAGAGUGGAAAGCUCAUCAAGUGACGGUAACUACCCAGAAAGGGACGGCUAACUACGUG
rnacentral:rRNA from 1 species